rnacentral:rRNA from 1 species
GUGCCAGACUCCUACGGGAGGCAGCAGUAGGGAAUUUUGCGCAAUGGGGGAAACCCUGACGCAGCAACACCGCGUGAAUGUUAAGCCCUUCGGGGUGUAAAGUUCUGUCAAUAGGGACGAAUUUUGACUGUACCUAUAAAGGAAGCACCGGCUAACUCCGUGCCAGCAGCCGCGGUAAUACGGAGGGUGCAAGCGUUGUCCGGAAUCAUUGGGCGUAAAGAGUUCGUAGGCGGUAUGUUAAGUCUGGUGUUAAAUGCAGAAGCUCAACUUCUGUUCGGCACUGGAUACUGGCAAACUAGAAUGCGGUAGAGGUAAAGGGAAUUCCUGGUGUAGCGGUGAAAUGCUUAGAUAUCAGGAGGAACAUCGGUGGCGUAAGCGCUUUACUGGGCCGUAAUUGACGCUGAGGAACGAAAGCCAGGGUAGCAAAUGGGAUUAGAUACCCCCGUAGCA